UACAGAGGGUGCGAGCGUUAAUCGGAAUUACUGGGCGUAAAGCGCGCGUAGGCGGCUUUUUCAAGUCGAUUGUGAAAUCCCCGGGCUUAACCUGGGAACUGCAGUCGAGACUGUCUAGCUAGAGUAUGGGAGAGGGAAGUGGAAUUUCAGGUGUAGCGGUGAAAUGCGUAGAUAUCUGAAGGAACAUCAGUGGCGAAAGCGACUUCCUGGACCAAUACUGACGCUCAUGUGCGAAAGCGUGGGGAGCAAACAG
rnacentral:rRNA from 1 species